AAGCGAUUGCCUUAGUAGCGGCGAGCGAAACGGCAGAAGGGCAAACCGAAGAGUUUACUCUUCGGGGUUGUAGGACUGCAAUGUGGACUCAAAGAUUAUAGAAGAAUGAUUUGGGAAGAUCAGCCAAAGAGAGUAAUAGCCUCGUAUUUAAAAUAGUCUUUGUACCUAGCAGUAUCCUGAGUACGGCGGGACACGUGAAAUCCCGUCGGAAUCUGGGAGGACCAUCUCCCAACCCUAAAUACUCCCUAGUGACCGAUAGUGAACCAGUACCGUGAGGGAAAGGUGAAAAGCACCCCGGGAGGGGAGUGAAAUAGAACCUGAAACCGUGUGCCUACAACAAGUUCGAGCCCGUUAAUGGGUGAGAGCGUGCCUUUUGUAGAAUGAACCGGCGAGUUACGUUAUGAUGCGAGGUUAAGUUGAAGAGACGGAGCCGUAGGGAAACCGAGUCUGAAUAGGGCGCCUUAGUAUCAUGACGUAGACCCGAAACCAUGUGACCUACCCAUGAGCAGGUUGAAGGUGCGGUAAGACGCACUGGAGGACCGAACCAGGGCACGUUGAAAAGUGCUUGGAUGACUUGUGGGUAGCGGAGAAAUUCCAAACGAACUUGGAGAUAGCUGGUUCUCUCCGAAAUAGCUUUAGGGCUAGCGUCGACAUUAGAGAUUCUUGGAGGUAGAGCACUGUUUGGGUGAGGGGUCCAUCCCGGAUUACCAAUCUCAGAUAAACUCCGAAUGCCAAUGAAUUAUGGUCGGCAGUCAGACUGCGAGUGCUAAGAUCCGUAGUCGAAAGGGAAACAGCCCAGACCACCAGCUAAGGUCCCAAAAUAAUUGUUAAGUGGAAAAGGAUGUGGGGUUGCACAGACAACUAGGAUGUUAGCUUAGAAGCAGCUAUUCAUUCAAAGAGUGCGUAAUAGCUCACUAGUCGAGUGACCCUGCGCCGAAAAUGUACCGGGGCUAAAACAAUUUACCGAAGCUGUGGAUACCUUUAUAGGUAUGGUAGGAGAGCGUUCUAUGUGUGAUGAAGGUAUACCGUGAGGAGUGCUGGAACGCAUAGAAGUGAGAAUGCCGGUAUGAGUAGCGAAAGACAGGUGAGAAUCCUGUCCACCGUAAGACUAAGGUUUCCAGGGGAAGGCUCGUCCGCCCUGGGUUAGUCGGGACCUAAGGAGAGACCGAAAGGUGUAUCCGAUGGACAACAGGUUGAUAUUCCUGUACUAGAGUAUGUAGUGAUGGAGGGACGCAGUAGGCUAACUAAAGCAGACGAUUGGAAGAGUCUGUCUAAGCAGUGAGGUGUGAAUUGAGUCAAAUGCUUAAUUCUAUAACAUUGAGCUGUGAUGGGGAGCGAAGUUUAGUAGCGAAGUUAGUGACGUCACACUGCCAAGAAAAGCUUCUAGCGUUUAAACAUACUCUACCCGUACCGCAAACCGACACAGGUAGUCGAGGCGAGUAGCCUCAGGUGAGCGAGAGAACUCUCGUUAAGGAACUCGGCAAAAUGACCCCGUAACUUCGGGAGAAGGGGUGCUGACUUAAAGUCAGCCGCAGUGAAUAGGCCCAAGCAACUGUUUAUCAAAAACACAGCUCUCUGCUAAAUCGUAAGAUGAUGUAUAGGGGGUGACGCCUGCCCGGUGCUGGAAGGUUAAGAGGAGUGCUUAGCGUAAGCGAAGGUAUGAAUUGAAGCCCCAGUAAACGGCGGCCGUAACUAUAACGGUCCUAAGGUAGCGAAAUUCCUUGUCGGGUAAGUUCCGACCCGCACGAAAGGCGUAAUGAUUUGGGCACUGUCUCAACGAGAGACUCGGUGAAAUUUUAGUACCUGUGAAGAUGCAGGUUACCCGCGACAGGACGGAAAGACCCCAUGGAGCUUUACUGCAGUUUGAUAUUGAGUGUCUGUACCACAUGUACAGGAUAGGUAGGAGUCUAAGAGAUCGGGACGCCAGUUUCGAAGGAGACGCUGUUGGGAUACUACCCUUGUGUUAUGGCCACUCUAACCCAGAUAGGUGAUCCCUAUCGGAGACAGUGUCUGACGGGCAGUUUGACUGGGGCGGUCGCCUCCUAAAAGGUAACGGAGGCGCCCAAAGGUUCCCUCAGAAUGGUUGGAAAUCAUUCGCAGAGUGUAAAGGUAUAAGGGAGCUUGACUGCGAGAGCUACAACUCGAGCAGGGACGAAAGUCGGGCUUAGUGAUCCGGUGGUUCCGUAUGGAAGGGCCAUCGCUCAACGGAUAAAAGCUACCCUGGGGAUAACAGGCUUAUCUCCCCCAAGAGUUCACAUCGACGGGGAGGUUUGGCACCUCGAUGUCGGCUCGUCGCAUCCUGGGGCUGUAGUCGGUCCCAAGGGUUGGGCUGUUCGCCCAUUAAAGCGGCACGCGAGCUGGGUUCAGAACGUCGUGAGACAGUUCGGUCCCUAUCCGUCGCGGGCGUAGGAAAUUUGAGAGGAUCUGCUCCUAGUACGAGAGGACCAGAGUGGACUUACCGCUGGUGUACCAGUUGUCUUGCCAAAGGCAUCGCUGGGUAGCUAUGUAGGGAAGGGAUAAACGCUGAAAGCAUCUAAGUGUGAAACCCACCUCAAGAUGAGAUUUCCCAUGAUUAUAUAUCAGUAAGAGCCCUGAGAGAUGAUCAGGUAGAUAGGUUAGAAGUGGAAGUGUGGCGACACAUGUAGCGGACUAAUACUAAUAGCUCGAGGACUUAUCCAAA
rnacentral:rRNA from 1 species